UAUCUGGUUGAUCCUGCCAGUAGUCAUAUGCUUGUCUCAAAGAUUAAGCCAUGCAUGUCUAAGUACAAACCUUAAUACGGUGAAACCGCGAAUGGCUCAUUAAAUCAGCUAUGGUUCCUUAGAUCGUCUCAUCCUACUCGGAUAACUGUGGAAAAUCUAGAGCUAAUACGUGCUUACAAGCCCUGACCUCACGGGAGGGGGCGCAUUUAUUAGAUCAAAACCAAUCGGGGCUUGCCCCGUCUGCUUGGUGACUCUGGAUAACUUUUGUGCUGAUCGCAUGGCCUCUGCGCUGGCGACGUAUCUUUCAAGUGUCUGCCCUAUCAACUUACGAUGGUAGGUGAUAUGCCUACCAUGGUUAUAACGGGUAACGGGGAAUCAGGGUUCGAUUCCGGAGAGGGAGCCUGAGAAACGGCUACCACAUCUAAGGAAGGCAGCAGGCGCGCAAAUUACCCACUCCCGGCACGGGGAGGUAGUGACGAAAAAUAACGAUACGGGACUCUUUUGAGGCCCCGUAAUUGGAAUGAGUACACUUUAAAUCCGUUAACAAGUAUCUAUUGGAGGGCAAGUCUGGUGCCAGCAGCCGCGGUAAUUCCAGCUCCAAUAGCGUAUAUUAAUGUUGCUGCAGUUAAAAAGCUCGUAGUUGGAUCUGAGGACUCGAAUUGGUGGUGCACCAUACGGUGUUACUGCCGAUUCGGCCUACCUAGUCGGUGCUCGCUCUUGGUG
rnacentral:ncRNA from 1 species